rnacentral:lncRNA from 1 species
GAUCAAUAUUAUAAUUUCUUUAUUAUAAUAAUUUUAAUACUUAUAAAUAUAAUAAUAUGUUUUAAUAUUAAACUAAAAUUAAAUUUUAUUUUUGUAAAUAGGAGUUUUAGUAGCUCAAAUAAAUAAGUUUCAUAGUCUAAGAUACAACAUGAUCUAAUAAUUUAUAAAAAAUUUAAAACCAAAAGACUAAUAAAGCUAAUAUAGGUUAAAAAUUAAAUUAAUGUUUUUAUUAUUAUAAAAAGAAUUUUUAUUACAUUUAAAAAGAUCUAGAAUUAUUUACAACUUAAUGUAUGUAGCUACUUCAAGAAUUGAUAAAAUGUGGCAAUUUUGUAGACAUUGCAAGUGCUUGGAUUCUAAUGCAAUAAUAGCCAUCCAUGACAGAUAUGCAUU